rnacentral:rRNA from 1 species
ACGAUGCUAGCUUGCUAGCAGGCGUCGAGUGGCGGACGGGUGAGUAAUGCAUAGGAAUCUACCUAGCUAGUGGGGGACAACCUGGUGAAAACCAGGCUAAUACCGCAUAAUCCCUACGGGGCAAAGCAGGGGACCUUCGGGCCUUGCGCUAAUAGAUGAGCCUAUGUCGGAUUAGCUAGUAGGUGAGGUAAGAGCUCACCUAGGCGACGAUCUCUAGCUGGUUUGAGAGGAUGAUCAGCCACACUGGGACUGAGACACGGCCCAGACUCCUACGGGAGGCAGCAGUGGGGAAUAUUGCACAAUGGGCGAAAGCCUGAUGCAGCCAUGCCGCGUGUGUGAAGAAGGCCUUCGGGUUGUAAAGCACUUUCAGCGAGGAGGAAAGGUUAGUGGUUAAUAGCCACUAGCUGUGACGUUACUCGCAGAAGAAGCACCGGCUAACUUCGUGCCAGCAGCCGCGGUAAUACGAGGGGUGCAAGCGUUAAUCGGAAUUACUGGGCGUAAAGCGUGCGUAGGUGGU